AGCAGUCGCCGCGGUAAUACGGAGGGAGCUAGCGUUGUUCGGAAUUACUGGGCGUAAAGCGCGCGUAGGCGGUUACUCAAGUCAGAGGUGAAAGCCCGGGGCUCAACCCCGGAACUGCCUUUGAAACUAGGUGACUAGAAUCUUGGAGAGGUCAGUGGAAUUCCGAGUGUAGAGGUGAAAUUCGUAGAUAUUCGGAAGAACACCAGUGGCGAAGGCGACUGACUGGACAAGUAUUGACGCUGAGGUGCGAAAGCGUGGGGAGCAAACAGGAUUAGAUACCCGAGUAGUCCCUGUCUCUUAUAC
rnacentral:rRNA from 1 species